UACGUAGGGUGCAAGCGUUGUCCGGAAUUAUUGGGCGUAAGGAGCUCGUAGGCGGUUCGUCACGUCGGCUGUGAAAACCUGAGGCUCAACCUCAGGCCUGCAGUCGAUACGGGCGGACUCGAGUUCGGCAGGGGAGACUGGAAUUCCUGGUGUAGCGGUGAAAUGCGCAGAUAUCAGGAGGAACGCCGGUGGCGAAGGCGGGUCUCUGGGCCGAUACUGACGCUGAGGAGCGAAAGCGUGGGGAGCGAACAGG
rnacentral:rRNA from 1 species